rnacentral:lncRNA from 1 species
UCCACAAGAAACUCAAAUGCAGUAACCGCUUGGUCAUCGUCGGAUCACGUACACUUCACCACAUGUCUUCCCGUGGAAGCUAUGUCUCGGUUGGUUCGAAGGUGUACGGGUUUAACGAUCUCGAUGCGCUCAGCAUUGACUGCACCUCUCACACGUGUCAGCCCAUCUCUGACAUUCCUCAGCUCAUGACUAAUAAAGUUGCUAAUGUCAUCGACAGGAAGAUUUACCUGAUUGGUGGUUCCUUUUUGCCGGAUGAAAGUGGGUCGCGGGAAGCGUGGAAGAAUGUAGUCGCGGUGUUUGACACAGAAACACAAUCAUGGGAGCCUAAGUUGGUAAAGGAAGACAUUCAUGUAGGUCUUGGUCCCUUUUGGUCUGAUUCUAUGGUGAUGGAGGGUAAGAUUUACCUGAAAGAUUACAGCAACGGCAACUCUUUUGUUUAUGAACCAGAGGAAAGGAAAUGGGAAUUGAUGGACGAGGUGUUGAAUUCUGAGGAAUGGGUGGGUGCGUGUGUGGUUGACGAUGUCUUGUACUAUCACGAUUGUUUCGAGAUGGCGUUGAAGGCGUAUGAUCCAAAGCAGAGGUGUUGGAGUGUUGUCAAUGGUUUGAAAGAUUUUUUGGCCGUGGAGACUGCUGAUUCAGUUAGGUCCCAUGCGGUGAGCUAUGGCGAGAAGAAGCUGGCUCUCUUCUUUCAUAAAAACCAUGACGGCAAAGAGGUCAUUUGCUGUGCAGAGAUUGCUUUGGAAAGGCGCCAAGGAGGAGAGAUUUGGGGUCAGAAGGAGUCGUGUGAUGUUGUGAUUGAGGAUGGGAUGGUUGACAUGGUCAAAUUUGUUUCUGUUACCGUCUGAUGCAGCAUAAUAAUAAUAUCUCUAUUUAGAUCCCUUCGUAUUUUAAAUUAUCCUAAUUCCCAACGUGAGUUGGAAGUGUGCUUAGCUUACAUCGUUAACGUAGUAACGUGUUUCAUGUAGUCGUUUAAAACUUGUGCUAUGUUUUUAUCUUAGAUCGAUUCCUUGAGACUUGAAGUUUGCUAUGUUCUAUAAUCGUUUCCUUGAGACUUGUUUGAAGUUUGCUUCCUCACAACCUCAUCUGUAGUUUAAUGUCUUAGGCUGAGAAUUAAAGUCGUAUGUAUUUCCAGUAGUUCAGCAGCAGCAAGUUUGGAAGUGCUUCUGAAGCAAACAACAAACUGUUAUCCUCGUGAGAAACUCUGAUUCAAAAAUUCUUGUAGCUCCUUUAUAAAUGUCAAGUGCUAGCUCAAGUGAGGACUCACCAUGAUAAUAAUUAUCUUUUAGUAUCACUAAUCCAGUUGUGGCCAUAACUUGCCUGAAUUCACUAAGGAUCAUGAAACAAGAAUUUCGCAGAAGACAGUCCUCAACUUAGCUGCUGUCACACAGCGAAAUGGCUCCAAUAGGCAACCAGAAGUAAGACAUUCGCAUGAAGGCUCAGGGACUAGACCCUUAGAGAAGGGUAUCAAAAUUUUCAAUUUGAUGCUUCUGAUCCAGCGAAUUUACUCACAGCUGAUAGGCUUCCAGAGCUCUGUAAAUUCUUACUAUAUGAUGAAAUAAAAAUCAAAAAGCCGGUCAGAACAUAGAGACAAGUCAAAAUAAAUGAUGUUUUAUAUUUUAAUGUAACUUUUAACUCUUUAAAUUAUGUAAUCAAUGAUAUUUUGUAGUCUAUUUUGUAAUUGACUAAAUAGUUUUUAAUUUAAUUUAUUUAUUAAUCUUACAUAUUCAUUUGUUUUAAAUUUGUGUUUUUAUCAUAUGCAUGUUUACAAUAAUAUUUUAUUGUGAAUAAUUUAGUCACUUAAGAGAAAGUGUAGUUUUCAAAAGAAAUAGAAUACAAUGCAUCUUUCAAAACAAAUAUCUUUGCAAAGUAUUUUUACAAAUUGCCCUUUUUGUAAUAUAACAAUGCAAAAAAAUAUAUAAUUAAAUUAAACUUCAGUUCCCAAAUCGAAAUCCACAAAAGAGUUUGGUUUAGUUAGUUGUAAGACUUAUUUACCAAAACUAAAAUAAUCUAUGCUUUUAAAUGAAUGUUAUUUGAAAAUACUCAACCAUCAAGAAAAGUGAUUCCCUUCAAAUAAUAUUCAAGAAAAGUUGUGGCUUCGCCUUUGUGAAACCCUGAAAAUUUACACUGAAGAAACAUCAAGCCACCAAUUUCCUAAAAGCUUUGGAGAACAAACAAACAUCAAAGCCACCAACUGACAUAUUUAAUGGGCCAACCAAGAUACUGUUGGGCUAUGGAUCUCGAAUUGACUAUUAUGGGCCACAAGUAGAACGUUGCCGUUUGAGCUUUUUAACAUAAACCCCUGAGAAGAGACUCUCUGCUCCAUGCAUCUUCUCUCUUACAAGCUACUAGUCUUCGUCUCGUUUGUGCGAAACACAAAUCUCCUUACUGAAAUUCUCGAUUCUUGCAGGUUUUUUCCGCAAAAUCUCACAUCUUCGUCUCUGCAUCUCCGUUCUUCUUUACCAUCUCCUUCGAUUGGUUACUUUAUGCUUGUUGAAAAUUCAGUAUAAUUUUUUGGGGGUUGCUUUCGAAAUCUGCAUGAUAAAUGAUCGGAAGCUCGUCUUACUUACUUGUUGGGUGACAUAUUGACCUCUACUUUGAUAAAAAUUGAAACUUUGCUUAGUAAAACUUUUCUGUCUGGUCUCGGAACCAAAUUGAAAUUUUUGAUGUUGAAGCGCUUCGGUUACUCAUUUCGUCUUCUAGGACUAACAAAGCUUUCGUCUUUUCCUUUUCUUCAGGACACUCAUUCAACCACAUGUCUGAAAACAUGGAGCAAUCGCCGGAGAUGCUGCUGUCUCCUCCGAUUCCGUCGCUUCCAGACGACGUCACCAUCGAUAUCGUAGCUCGUGUGCCCAGAAGCCAUGUCCAAAUGGACAAAAUAGUUUAUUGGACAUUUUUUUUUUAAGCCCAAAUUGUCCAAACCAAAUUCUCCAAACCAAAUUGGACCAUUCCAAAUGGGCCUUCCGCGGGGCCCAAAUAAAAUUGGACCAUUCAUACUAAAUUCUUUAAAAAAACAUAACUUGUGCUUAAAAAAAAAUUCAGAGCAUAAGCAAUUCAAAUGUUUUACACAUUCCAAAGCAUAGACAAUUUCAUAUAUUAAAGUUCAUACACAGAAAAAAAAUCUAAAGCAUUAAGUAAACGAUGGUCUCUUCUUCUUUAUCUUCAGCCUCUCCUGAAACACAUAAGUUGAAACUAUGAAUUUAAUCAUGUCACGUAGCCAUCAAUGUAAUAUGAAUGAAUGAUACCACAAGCUCAGACAGAACACAACAGCAAGCAAUAUAACAGGUACAUUGCAGAAACAUGAAUGAUACCACAAGCUCAGACAGAACACAACUGACCAGUUCAUUGUAAUAAGUACACAACAGCAAGCAAAACAUGUACAUUGCAGAAACAUGAAUGAUACCACAAGCUCAGAUAGAACACAACUGACCAGUUCAUUGUAAUAACACUAAUGCUAGCAUCUUAAAAAAAAUGAAUUAGAUCAGACAAAUAUGUGUUCAACGAUGUUGAUGCCCUCUGCAUUGACUGUGCCUCCCACACGGUGCAGCCCAUCCCUGACAUGCCUCAGCGCUUCUCGGCGACUCCCAUGCCUAGUAAAGUUGCUAAUGUCAUCGACGGGAAGGUUUACGUGAUCGGUGAUUCCCGUUUCACUUCUGAUCAUGGGAUGUCGUGGAGGAAAACAGUGAUGGUGCUUGAUUCAGAGACGCAAGUGUGGGAGCCGGUGAUGAAAAAAGAAAACAUGCGCGUUGGUGCUCUUUGGUCUGAUUCUGUGGUGAUGGAGGAUAAGAUUUACUUGAAAGGUUACAUGAAUGGUAAUUCUUUUGUUUACGAACCAAAGGAGAAGAAAUGGGAAUUGAUGGACGAGGUGUUGAACUCUAAGGACUGGGAGAGUGCGUGUGUGGUUGAUGAUGUCCUCUACUAUCACGAUUGUUCAGAGAAGGCGUUAAGGGCGUAUGAUCCAAAGCAGAGCCGCUGGGGUGUUGUCAAUGGUUUGGAAGAGUUUUUGGCGUCUGAGUGUGCCCUGUCAAAGUGGCCCAAUGUGGUGAAGUGCGGCGAGAAGAAGCUGGCUCUCUUCUUUCCUAAAAAACAUGACGGCAAGGAGGUCAUUUGCUGCGCGGAGAUUGCUUUGGAAAGGCGCCAAGGAGGAGAGGUUUGGGGUAAGCUGGAGUCGUGUGAUGUUGUCAUCGAGGAUGGUGGGCUGUUUGACGUGGUGAAAUGUGUAGCUGUUACGGUUUGAUGCAGCAUAAUAACUCUGUUUAGAUCCCUUCGUAUUUUCAUUUAUCCUAAAUGCCAUUUCGUGUGGUGGUGAGUUUGUUAACAUCGUUAGUGUCGACUAAAAACUUGUGCUAUAUAUGUUCUGUUAAUUUGGCUAUGUUUUAUUCUUGAAUCGUUUCUUUAGACUUGAAGUUUGCAUAAAAUUUUUAAAUAUAGCUUCGAUUUAAUCUUUUUACACGACAAUGAACGUGUUAAACAACAAACAUAUUUUCUAACACCAGUGUAAUGAUUUUUGUACGUAUCAAAAUUGUAUAAAAUAUACCAAAUCAUCCGUAAAUAUCAUUUUUAUAUUUGUUUUCAAAAACUCCGGUUUCAUAACAGAAUUUUGAUUUUUCACAUUACCCAUAUCAAAUAUAUAAUCUAUUAAUAAGAAAAUUUCAUGAAAAUGACAAAAAUUUACCUUUAAAUGGAGAUUCAAAAUUGCGAAAUGUAGAAUGGUGGGUGAGGAGAAUUAUGGCGAAGGGGGAAGAAUGUUAAGAUAGUGGAAUCCUUGUUGAAUUGUCGUAUGAAUAUUUAAUUUGAAGUUUAAUUUUUUAGUUUAAUAGGUGAGAUGUCAAUUAUAUUACAAAGAAAAGAAUAGGUCACGAGAAGAAAUAAAUGGUAUAAAUAGUAAGAUUAUUAAGGAGUAGUGAGAUUAAAAUGUUUCCCAUUAAGGAAUUUUAGUUACUUGUCCAUUAUUUUUGCCUUUUUGGGUUAUUAUGGACCCCAAUCCCAUAAUAAAAUUUAUUUUAUUAUAAUUCACAAAUAAAGCGACUUUUCAAUCCCUAUAAAGAGUUUUCCAUUCUCUGCUUCUUCUCUCAUGCAACUCGUCGUCUCUUUGGUUUGGGUCUUGAGAGUGUCUUACGUAAAGCCUAAGUUACUUGCAGGCUUGUACUCAAAAUCUGAAAUUUUUCUUUCUCUUACUCUCCAUCCUCCUUUUCUAUUUAGUUCGAUUGGUUUCUUUUAUCUUGUUGUUGAAAUCUGAGUGUAACUUUUUGGGUGGUUAUGGUUUAUCCUCCUGCAUACAUUUCAUGACCAAUAAUUACAUAAAAAUUGAAACUUUUGUCUGUAUGCUGUAAACCCUAAUAUUCACCCAUUACUUGCGUGGUUUGUGGUCUUCAAAUCAGCUUCUUAGCUAUUUACUCUUUCCUCGUCUCUUUGUGAUUCUUGCUUGAUAUGAUAUGUCUGAACUUGCUUGAAUUGUCUGAGUUUGAAAUAUAUAUCUGAACUUGAAAUGAUGUCUGAACUUAGAAUCAGCUAGCUCUCUUUUGUGUGUUUAGGCUAGCCAAUAACAUAUUUCCUUUUUUUUUUUUGUUCAGGUUGAUUUCCUGAUUCACUCAACCACAGCUUUCACAUGUCUGAAAACAUGGAGCAGUCUCUGACUCCGUCGCUUCCAGAUGACGUCAUCAUUGACAUCGUAGCUCGUGUGCCCAGAAGCCAUUACCCGACUCUCUCCCUCGUUUCCAAGAGUUUCAGGAAACUCAUUGCCUCUCCUACGCUCUACAAGAGGCGAUCCUUCCUAGGCAUCACCCAACACCGUCUCUAUGCCGUCCUCCGCAACCCCCAAACUCGUGAUAAUUUUAGUUUCUACAUUCUCCACAAGAAACUCAAAUGCAGUAACCGCUUGGUCAUCGUCGGAUCACGUACACUUCACCACAUGUCUUCCCGUGGAAGCUAUGUCUCGGUUGGUUCGAAGGUGUACGGGUUUAACGAUCUCGAUGCGCUCAGCAUUGACUGCACCUCUCACACGUGUCAGCCCAUCUCUGACAUUCCUCAGCUCAUGACUAAUAAAGUUGCUAAUGUCAUCGACAGGAAGAUUUACCUGAUUGGUGGUUCCUUUUUGCCGGAUGAAAGUGGGUCGCGGGAAGCGUGGAAGAAUGUAGUCGCGGUGUUUGACACAGAAACACAAUCAUGGGAGCCUAAGUUGGUAAAGGAAGACAUUCAUGUAGGUCUUGGUCCCUUUUGGUCUGA